rnacentral:rRNA from 1 species
CCUACGGGAGGCAGCAGUGGGGAAUCUUGCGCAAUGGGCGAAAGCCUGACGCAGCCAUGCCGCGUGAAUGAUGAAGGUCUUAGGAUUGUAAAAUUCUUUCACCGGGGACGAUAAUGACGGUACCCGGAGAAGAAGCCCCGGCUAACUUCGUGCCAGCAGCCGCGGUAAUACGAAGGGGGCUAGCGUUGCUCGGAAUUACUGGGCGUAAAGGGAGCGUAGGCGGAUAGUUUAGUCAGAGGUGAAAGCCCAGGGCUCAACCUUGGAAUUGCCUUUGAUACUGGCUAUCUUGAGUACGGAAGAGGUAUGUGGAACUCCGAGUGUAGAGGUGAAAUUCGUAGAUAUUCGGAAGAACACCAGUGGCGAAGGCGACAUACUGGUCCGUUACUGACGCUGAGGCUCGAAAGCGUGGGGAGCAAACAGGAUUAGAUACCCUGGUAGUCCACGCUGUAAACGAUGAGUGCUAGUUGUCGGCAUGCAUGCAUGUCGGUGACGCAGCUAACGCAUUAAGCACUCCGCCUGGGGAGUACGGUCGCAAGAUUAAAACUCAAAUGAAUUGACCGGNUGAGAGNGCGAGACGACGACGAGGGAGAGG